CCUACGGGGCAGCAGUGAGGAAUAUUGGUCAAUGGCCGGAAGGCUGAACCAGCCAAGCCGCGUGAAGGACGAAGGUGCCAAGCAUUGUAAACUUCUUUUGUCAAGGGACAAAAUCAGGCUCGAGAGCCUGACCGAGGGUACUUGAAGAAAAAGCAUCGGCUAACUCCGUGCCAGCAGCCGCGGUAAUACGGAGGAUGCGAGCGUUAUCCGGAUUUACUGGGUGUAAAGGGAGCGUAGACGGCAUAGCAAGUCUGAAGUGAAAGCCCAAGGCUCAACCAUGGGACUGCUUUGGAAACUGUUAAGCU
rnacentral:rRNA from 1 species